GAGACGGAGGUAGAUGGCGAUGGAAAGAGAGCGAGGGGGAGGGGGAGGGGUAGGGGUGAUGGAUUUCACAAGUGGGAGAGUGGGGAUGGUCAGAGAAAACCAUAGGGGUCGUCCGGAUCUCGAGCUGCAUGCUUGGAUUUCCAAAGAUAAGUUCGUUUUUUUAAUUCGAUUCUUUACCAUUAGCUUAGAUUGUCAUCAUUUCUGCCUUUUUGUUGUGAAUUAUUUUCGAAUUUUUUAGUGCGUUAGGUCAGGUUUUGGGGGAUUCAUCUCUCUGUUUAUUCCCUUAUUUGUUUCAUUUUCUCUCAUUUUGGGGAUUCAUCUCUCUGUUAUGUCUGUUUGUUCUUUGUUCUAAGGUCAGUUGCUUUUUUUUUUUUUUUUUUGGGGAGAAUUUGUGUUUGGUUGUCGGAUUUAAUUUGGUUUUUGCUUUCAGGAAAAACUGGGGUUCGAGUUUUGGGGUUUUUGAUGUGGGUUUGGUUUCUUUUUCGUGGGAUUUGUUGUAUUUGUACCCUUUGGGUUUAGGUUUCAUCAGAUGGCGUUUGUAGUGUUUAUAUUGAACUGUCGACUCUUUUAUUCUUUGUAGGUGAAAUUGAAGGUCAGUAAUCUCUUAAAUUGAUGAGGGGGCUACAAUUCGUGCAAGGAAAAACCAGAGAUAUGCUACUAUUUUGGAAGAGAACAGAUAAAGAGAUGGACUUAUCGAAUGAAUGCAGCAGCAAGGAAAUUUGAGCCUUGGCCUGUAGAGAUACAAUUUUGCAAGGAAGCUAGGCAGUUGCUUCUUUAGGGACUUAUGACAUAGCAUUAGAGAUGGGAAAGAAGGUGAUAUGUCAAAGGUCGUACCCAGUGCACAAGGCUCCCGCUUUACGCAGGGUCUGGGAGAGGUGAAUGUCGGCUAGCCUUACCCCCAUUUAUGGAGAGGCUGCUCUCAAGUCUCGAACCCGAGACCUACCGCUCAUGGGCGAAGGCACUUGCCAUCGCACCAAGGGCGACCUCUAAGCUGCCAAAUUAGGCAUUGUGGGUGUACCAUGUGCAGAUGAUUAGGGAGGGUGCAAUACCAAGUGAAGAAUUACACCUUGAGAAGGAAUUUGGAUCGUUGGAGGGAGAAGUUGGUCCCUUGGCAUUUUGAGGUGUAUAGUUAUAUGCCCUUGGCAUUUUAAUGCAAUUGAAAAUGCAUUACGGAAAACACAGAAGUUAUAUUGUGGAGCACCAAUGUAACACGAAAUAUAAAAUUUUCCUUCUACAAUGCAAGGAUCAGGAAAGUCAAGAAGAAUAAACUAAACAUUUCUUUGCCCAAACACGUAGUUAUAAGAACUUGGAAACAAUGUGAUCCAAACAAACCAGCGGAGAAAAGGUAAGCCGAGAAA